GAGGGUAUAGCUCAACUGGUAAGAGUGCAUGCCUAGUCACGCACAAGGUCCUGGGUUCAAUCCCCAGUACCUCCU
rfam:Camelus ferus unplaced genomic scaffold scaffold2263, whole genome shotgun sequence.